rnacentral:rRNA from 1 species
GAGGAAUAUUGGGCAAUGCCCGCAAGGGUGACCCAGCAACGCCGCGUGGAGGAUGAAAGCCGUAAGGUUGUAAACUCCUGUGAGAGGGGACGAAUGAUUACGUUUCGUAAGGAACGUGAAGUGACUGUACCCUCAGAGGAAGCCCCGGCUAACUACGUGCCAGCAGCCGCGGUAAUACGUAGGGGGCAAGCGUUGUCCGGAUUUACUGGGUGUAAAGGGCGCGUAGGCGGGUUGAUAAGUUAGAGGUGAAGUCCUGCGGCUUAACCGCAGAACUGCCCCUAAUACUGUCAAUCUUGAGUUCAGAAGAGAGAAGCGGAAUUCCAGGUGUAGUGGUGAAAUACGUAGAUAUCUGGAAGAACACCAGUUGCGAAGGCGGCUUCUUGGUCUGACACUGACGCUGAGGCGCGUAAGCGUGGGGAGCAAACAG